UCCCAUUAACCAGAUUGACAGCUAACUGCACAAUCCGGUAUAUAGCAUUAAGAAAAACCUCUCCAGGCCUGUGCGGCAGCGGAUCCAGAGAGAGGCUAGCCAGACUGCUCCAGCCAUGAGGAUAGAAGGGGAGACAGCACAGAAUGGAAGACAGUGAGGACACCUUGCCAUGCUAGCAGUCAGCAGGUAUGCGUCACUGCAGGUUGCUCAGGACCAAGCCAUAGAAGGUCAAACCAAGGUGCAUUGCCACCAUUUGUCCACCAUCCAGAACUGAAAUAUUGCUGACAUGUACACAUAAGGAACUGUUGGACAUUGAAAUUGGGACUCAAAACUGUUGGACAUUGAAUUGGGACUCAAGAAACUGCUGGCCCGGAAAGAAACUCACUACAGACUAAUUCAUUUGCCUCUCAGCAUAACCACAAUUGCUUGUCUCUUUGUUCUCAUGUGUUGAUUUCUAGUCUGCAGAUGCAAGAUGUUUUAAGGAAAAGAAACAGGAGAGAUGUUGGAGGCCACCCAUUGGCUUCUCUAGCAGAAAGAAGUGGACCAAGAACCCAGAAAGCUGGUCAACCUUGAGGCUCUGGCAAGGGUUAGAGCCAAGCACCCACUGUGUGGUGGAGACAAAGGGAGCUGGAGCAACUUCCACCUUUUAGUCUCAUGUAAGUCCUCGCUGAUGGGCUAUCACCAGCUCUUACUGGAAUUGCCUUCCUAAGGGCUAUGGAUGUACCCAGACCUCAGUAAAAAGGACAGCAAGGCCAGAGCAAAGCAGAGUCCUCUCUUAGGCUUCCACCUGGCCCCCAAUUCUCAAAUUAUUUUCUUGUCGAGUCUCUUUCAUUUGUGUGCGCCUCCUCUAAAACCCAAACCCUGAACCUGAACCCUGAGCCAUGCAGGAUGCGGGGGUACACUCGCAACUGGAGCCCAAUGUGAGGGGGUCAUAUUCGCACAAAUAUAAGCAGCUGGCUCAUGGUAGGGAGAGAGCAGAUGUUUGUGGGUGACCUGUUCUCCCACGCCGCCGGCAUUACGGAAUAAACACUCAUAUAGGAUUCAACUCUAUCUCUGCUUAAUUGGCUCCAGUAGGGACGGGCACGAGGACCGAUGGAUUAUCUGGUCUCUGGCAGGAGGUGUUUGGACCUCACCCUAUUCCACGGGACUCUGGCUGCUGGUCUCUGUUGGUCACAUCAAAAAGUGAACCGAUCCCUUGCCUUCCCAGCGACACUGACCUUUAGGCCACUUCACAACCCACAUUCCCUUUCGGCUUAGACUACAUUCCACCUGCUAAAACCAUUCUCUUUUCCCUCUGGAUUUUCCCAGGAUCCAGACCUGCCCAGAGAGUUCCCCACCGAAAAAAGCCCACCUAAAGUUCUUUAAAACCUCUGACCUCCACCCCGGGGACUGGCACCCUUUGGGGCUCAGCCCUGGAUUUCCGAUGACAUAAUAAAUUCAUACUUCUUUACCCCUUUCAGCCUCAUACUUUCCUCCUUCGGUGUUGUAGAAAAGGGUGUAUUUAAAAUGUUCCUUAAGAGGCUGAAACUGGUUUGGCUCAGUGGAUAGAGCGUCAGCCUGCGGACUGAGGAGUCCCGGGUUCUAUUCCGGUCAAGGGCAUGUACAUUGGUUGCG